UUUUGGACAAUGGGGGCAACCCUGAUCCAGCCAUGCCGCGUGAGUGAAGAAGGCCUUCGGGUUGUAAAGCUCUUUCGGCGGGGAAGAAAUGGCAACGGCUAAUAUCCGUUGUUGAUGACGGUACCCGCAUAAGAAGCACCGGCUAACUACGUGCCAGCAGCCGCGGUAAUACGUAGGGUGCGAGCGUUAAUCGGAAUUACUGGGCGUAAAGCGUGCGCAGGCGGUUUCGUAAGACAGACGUGAAAUCCCCGGGCUCAACCUGGGAACUGCGUUUGUGACUGCGAGGCUAGAGUACGGCAGAGGGGGGUAGAAUUCCACGUGUAGCAGUGAAAUGCGUAGAGAUGUGGAGGAAUACCGAUGGCGAAGGCAGCCCCCUGGGUUAGUACUGACGCUCAUGCACGAAAGCGUGGGGAGCAAACAGGAUUAGAUACCCUGGUAGUCCACGCCCUAAACGAUGUCAACUAGGUGUUGGAAGGGUUAAACCUUUUAGUACCGCAGCUAACGCGUGAAGUUGACCGCCUGGGGAGUACGGCCGCAAGGUUAAAACUCAAAGG
rnacentral:rRNA from 1 species